rnacentral:lncRNA from 1 species
UGUUGUUAUUAAUUUGUACAACAAAUUUUAACCGCAAAUUCGUUGCGGAUCUUGAGAUAUCUUCAAAACCCUAUCAGCCGCUUCAAACCCUAAUCUUUAUAUACUCGCGCGCAAUUUUCUUCAUAUCUCACAAACCAUAAGUCCAAAUGCCACGAAACUUAUAUAAAUAGCUUUUUAACACAAAUUUUUACAUUCUCCCAAAGUUUGAGCCAAAAUUUCAUUCGAAAACUCAAGUUAUGGCUCCUAACACUACUUUGAACAAAACCGCUCACUUACUGCCUUUGAUUUGAAUGCGCUGUCUUUAACUCCCUAUAACUCCUUCACAUAAAGUCUAAAUGCAAAAUUUCCUUCGCAAAAGAUGUAUUUCUUGAAGUUGCCCUUCCAGCCGCCUCUUCCGAUCUCCAAAAGCUUCCGUAAGACUCCUCUUAAACUCAAAAGAGUAACAGUAGGUCUCAAAUUGACACCUUAACUUCAAACGGCUUUAACUUAUUCACCCUAACUCCAAACCCUAUAAAAUUUGCACAAAAAUUGUAGCCAAAACCCUAAAAUUUAGAACCCUUGCCUCUGAUUUCCUAAUUGCCUCUUUGAAG